AGAAGGAAGCCGGAGCUAGAAGGCCGAGUGCCACUUAGAAAUGGCUAGGAGUGGUGACCCCGUGAAGAACAGGUGCUAGCAGAAAAAGAGCUCCAUGUGGGUGGCAGAAGAGCCAAGAGUACAAAAUGCAGCAUCUCAGAUGCCACAGUGUGGCUACUAGUAAAUGUGGACUUUUUAAUGUCAAUCCCUCAGCAUGGAAAUCAAAUAUUGCAACUACAUGGACAAUCCAAAGCACAUAGGAUGCUUUGCACAGUAAAGAGAAAGACAAGGACACGCAUCAAUUUUGUGGCACACCUGGCUCUCAAUCCAGUGUUCAGUCCAUUAGAAGAAGGCACCACAUCUUUUUCAAUAAAAAGAAGAAGAAAAUGACAUUGGG